UUGCGCCGUGUAUGAAUGGAAGUCAAUACAAAAUAUUUCAGUUUUCAAUGAGCAUUCGGGCGGUAUUAGACGAAAUAACGGAAACUUUGUAAAACGUUACUUUUUUCGCUUUGCAAUUUUAAACGGGAGUAUACGUUGAUUUUUAAAAUAUACCACAUUUUGUAUAUUUUUGUGAAUUGUUGUUUUUUUACAUAAUAAAUUUAACUUAAACGUCAACAACGACGAGUAUUAUUAUCUGUAUACUAUAUACCUAAUACGAUUUUUUGAUUACAACAAUUUAAAUGUAUUGUUGUUGUUGCUAGCGUAGUAGUAAAAACGAAGUAUAUUUAUUGUACGUUGUUUUAAGUUGCCUGUGGUGACAUUCAACAAAUAUUCAACAAAAAACAACAAGAGAAAAAAAUUGAAUAAAAAACCACAGCAACAAUUACCGGGAAAUGUAGACAACAACAAAAAAUUGAGAAAAUAUAUGAAAAAAUAUAUUAAACUAAAUAAAUCAGAAAACACUUUUUGCAGUUUUUGUUUAAUAAUUGGAAAAUAUUUAAACAAAAAACCAAAUAAUUUUCAAAAGAAUUUAAGAAUUUCAUACAAAAAAAAAAGUGAGAAUAAAAAGAAAUUUCCUUCAAAAUCUUGUGCUAGUGUGUGAAAAUACUAAAGAAACAACAACAACAAAGAAGAAGAUAUAACAAAAACAAGUUAAGCUGUGUUAUGUGUCUGUCCGUCUGCUAUUUUUUUUUUGAGAGAAGUGCGAGUGCGCAAAUGUCAUAUUUGAUCUUUUAACAUAAAUUGCAAAAGAGAGAAAGAGAUAGAAUGUGAGUGCCAAAGUGAAAAAAACACAAUACAAGUGUACAACAACAUAAUACAGAGAAAACAGCAGCAUAAAAGAAGCAAAAAAAAGAAAUAAAAACAAAACGAAAAUAAUAAAAAUAAGUGAAGUGAAGGAAAUAAAUGUUAAGAAAAAAAAAACUUUAAAAUUGAAGAAGAGAAAACAAAAAGGUGCAACUAUUUGAAAAAAUAAAAACAGCAACAACUAACCAUAACAGUAAUAAAGGGAAACCACAAUCAAAAACAACAACAACAACAACUAAAACAACAAAAAACACACAAAUUAACCAGAAAAAAAAGAAGUUUAAAAUAUAAUUUAUUUAAGAUUUCGAGUUGCAAUGGAAUUUCAAAUCCCAGUCAGCAACAAUAAUAAUCACUACGAAAACAACAACAAUAAUAAAACAAAAGCAAAAGACUAAACAAAAAUAGAAAAAAAGCAAAACAAUACAAUAACAAACAUAA